AAAACAACUAAUGGCAAAGUUGACAAGUGCUAAGAAGGAAGCUGCAGAUGGUAAAAAGAUCAUUGAAAGAUUACAUCGAGAAAUUAAGUUGUUGGAAAAGGAUUUAAGUGCUGAAAGGUUAAAACUGGAGCAGUUCCAAAGGGAGGUGGUGAUUUUAAAGGAGAAUUUAAAGGCUUCACAGCAAAUUUCAAAGUUUUUAAA